rnacentral:ncRNA from 1 species
UGACCUCGGAUCAGACGUGAUUACCCGCUGAAUUUAAGCAUAUUAUUAAGCGGAGGAAAAGAAACUAACAAGGAUUCCCCUAGUAACGGCGGAUCCGUGAACGGGGAAGAGCCCAAACACCGAAUCCCUUGGCGCAAGUCAACGGGAAAUGUGGUGUUAAGGUAGCCCUUCGUGUCAGUCUAGGCGUCUCAAGUCCACCUGAUUGUGGGCUCAAGCCCAGAGAGGGUGUAAGGCCCGUAGAGACGCUCCGACUGAUUCCUGGGGUUUACCUACGAGUCAGUCGGCUUGUUUGGGAAUGCAGGCCAAAGCGGGGCGGGUGGUAAACUCCAUCCAAGGCUAAAUACUGGCACGAGAGUCCGAUAGCGGACAAGUACCGUGAGGGAAAGUUGAAAAGAACUUUGAAGAGAGAGUUCAAUAGUACGUGAAACCGCUUAGAGGCAAACGGAUGGUGCUCAUACUGGCCUGAGGAAUUCAACUGUGACGGUGGCUGGACGAGCUGGCGUUCCGAUCUCUCUUUUGGGACGGGCGUCGGUUUGGCUAUCAGCUCUGACAUGGCUGCACUUUCCUUGGUGCCCUCCGCCACGACCGACGACACUGGCUACCCGCGGCUGGGGGUAAGGUGACAAACUGCUUCGGCAAUUUGUGUUAUAGACCCCGGCGUCGGACAUGGUUUGGCCAGGACGUCGAGCUUGCGGCGCCCGACUCCUUGUGGGCUCGCAAAUGUUGCGGCUAGCUUGGCUGCGCCGAUGCUUGCACUGGACAACCAGUACAGGUGACGGUUGUGGUCUUGUCUUCUAGUUGGCCUCUGCGAGUUUGGGCCUUAGUCUGUGGUGUUACUUGUGGGUAGACUAUCCGACCCGUCUUGAAACACGGACCAAGGAGUCUAACAUCUGCGCUGAGUCAUGGGGAUUUCCUACCGACCAAAGGCGCACGUGAGUAAAAGGCCUGCUUCUCGUCAGGCUGAUGGUGGGAUCUUCGUGCAUCGCGAUUGGCGAG